GUAUCUGCAAGAACUUGUCAGGCCAAAAGAAAAAAUUUGAAACUGUGUCAGAAUUUGACUUGAUUUUAUAUCUUUCUGUGAGUUAAUUCCUGUUUUAAAUUAAAUGAUGAAAUAUCGAGUUGCUUUUAUAAUAAUAAAGAAAAGACAAGUAAACUAUAUGAAUUUAUGGCCAAUUACCUGAAACUAAGAUCAAUAGAGUGACUGACAAUAAGAAUGCAUUUGAAUUUGUUGCAUCUUAACUGGUUUCAGUGUCUGGAAUGUUUGAAAUACUUGCUUGACACAAGGGUAUUAUUUUUUUUUAUUAUAUAUAACUAUAUAAUAUUUUCCUCUCUAGAAAUGGAGCCUAAUUAUUAGUUGCAUGGUUAUACAAUUGAUUGUUUUGGUUGAUUUUUCCAAGUACACAUGGUAUAUAACCAAUUUAUCCUAAAUUUGUCACACUUUUAUGGUAGGAAUAGAAUAUUGUUGAAACUUAGUGAAAUUUUAAUGUUGAAAAGUCUAAAUGACAUAAUACAUAAAAAACAAAAUAUAAGAAUUGAUAUCCUUAGCAUCUUUACCAUUAUGACAUUUUAUAUGAAAUGUCACAGGUUUUCUUCUAAUUACUUUUGUCAGACUCGAUUUGUAUGGAAUUUCCUUCUUAUUCAAUUGUUAUCCACUCAUAUAAUGAAUGGUAGCUUACAUUAUAUUCUUGUAAACUUCAAGCACAUUACAAAUCAUUCUACUGUCUGUCUGGUACAUUCUUGGUUUUAUAUACAUAUUGCAUAAGCAUGCGAUGUCCAAACAUGUACAUUAUGUAUGUAAAAUUUGCACACAUGUUUAAUAUACUAUGUCGUAUAGCAGUAACAAUAAAUAACAUUCACCAGAACAUGUUAGGUUGGGUUUUUUUUUUGCUCGUGUCGCAUCAUUUUGUACGGCAUUACAAUAGAUCACAUUUAAUUGUUGAGUUUUCUGUUGACUCCUUUUACAUCAUGUGUAUAUACUAGAAUAGACUACAUUCAAAUGUUGGGUAAUUUUUUGUCGAGCCUGCAACUUUUAUUGCAGAAAGCUCGACAUAGGGAUAGUGUUCUGGUGGCUACGGCAGCGGCGGUGUUGGCUAGCUUCUAAAAAGUUUCAUGUUUUAGAAGGUGGAAGACCUGGACGCUUCAUACUUUGUAUAUGGAUGCCUCAUGUUACGAAGUUUCCGUCAGUCACAUGUCCAAUGUCCUUGUUCUCAAUUUCAUGGUUCAGUGACUACUUGUAAUAAAAAGUUCAGAUUUUUUGUAAUGUUAAUUUCUCUCUUAUUAUAAGUAAUAAGAUUACUAUAUUUGGUAUGUGCAUAGCUUGCAAGGUCCUCAUGCCUGUCAGACAGUUUUCAAUUGACCUCUACCUCAUUUCAUGGAUCAGUGAACAAGGUUAAGUUUCAGUGAUCAAGUCCAUAUCUCAGAUACUAUAAGCAAUAGGUCUUGUAUAUUUGGUGUAUGGAAGGACUGUAGAUGUACAGUCAUGUCCAACUGGCAGUUGUCAUCUGACCUUGACCUCAUUGUCAUGGUUCAGGGGUUAUAGUUAAGUCUUUGUGUUUUGGUCUGUUUUUCUUAUACUGUAUGCAAUAGGUCUACUGUAUUUGGUGUAUGGAAUGAUUGUAAGGUGUACAUGUGUAGCUGGCAUGUGUCAUCUGACCUUGACCUCAUUUUCAUGGUUCAAUGGUUAUAAUAGUUAUGUUUUUGAGUUUUGGUCUUUUUUUUCUUAUACUAUAUGCAAUAGGUCAACUAUAUUUGGUGUAUGGAAAUAUUUUAUAAUCUAUAUGUCAGUUGUGCAGGUUUUAUUUCACCUUGACCUCAUUUUCACUGUUCAUUGCUCAGUGUUGAGUUUUUUAUCGACCACAAAAAAUAUUUUUUUGUCGUAUAUUGGUAUCCGACGUCGUCCUCGUCGUCCAAAGACAUUUGGUUUUCGAACUCUUACUCCAGUAUAAGUAAAUAGAAAUCUAUGAAUUUUAACACAAGGUUUAUGACCAUAAAAGGAAGGUUGAGAUCGAUUUUGAGAGUUUUGGUCUUAACAGUUUAGGAAUAAGGGGCCAAAAAGGGCCAAAAUAAGCAUUUUUCUUAGUUUUCGCACAAUAACUUUAGUAUAAGUAAACAGUUAUCUAUGAAAUUUUAAUAUAAGGUUUAUGACCACAAAAGGAAGGUUGGGAUUGAUUUGGGGAGUUUUGGUCCCAACAGUUUAGGAAUUAGGGGCCAAAAAAAGGUCUCAAAUAAGCAUUUUUCUUGGUUUUUUGCACAAUAACUUUAGUAUAAGUAAAUAGAAAUCUAUGACAUUUCAACACAAGGUUUAUGACCACAAAAUGAAGGCUGUGAUUGAUUUUUGGAGUACGGCAUUGUCAUAACAGUUUAGGAAUUAGGGUCCAAAAGGGUCCCAAAUUAACCUUUGUUCGAAUUUCAUCAAAAAACGAAUCAAUGGGGUUCUUUGAUAUGCGGAAUCUAACUGUGUGUUUAGAUUCUUAAUAUUUGGUCCUGUUUUCAAAUUGGUCUACAUUAAGGUCAAUGCAAAGGGUCCAAAAUUAAACUUAGUUUGAUUUUAACAAAAUUUGAAUUCUUGGGGUUCUUUGAUAUGCUGAAUCUAAACAUGUUCUUAGAUUUUUUAUUAUGGGCUCAGUUUUCAAGUUGGUCCAAAUUGGGGUCCAAAAUUAAACUUUGUUUGAUUUCAACAAAAAUUGAAUAUAUGGAAUUCUUGAAUAUGCUUAAUCUAACCAUGUAUUUAGAUUUUUAUACGACUGCAAAAAUUGAAAGUUUAUUGGUCGUAUAUUGGUAUCACGUUGGCAUCGUCGUCGUCAAAGACUUUUGGUUUUUCGCAAUCUAACUGUAGUAAAAGUAAAUAGUAGUCUAUUAAAUUUCAACACAAGGUUUAUGACCAUAAAAGGAAGGUUGGGAUUGAUUUUGGGUGUUUUGGUCCCAACGAAUUGGGGACCAAAAAGGGCCCAAAUAAGCAUUUUUCUUGGUUUUCGAACAAUAACUUUAGUAUAAGUAUACAGAAAUCUAUGAAAUUUUAACACAAGGUUUAUGACCACAAAAGGAAGGUUUGGAGAGAUUUGGUGAUUUGUCCCAACGAAUUAGGGUCCAAAAUUAAACUUUGUUUCACGAGUUGGUUGACCUUUAUGGAAUAUCCGUUUUACAGAUGAUAUCUGAUAUGUUCCUUAUGUCGUAACUACAAUCCUGUUCUCUUUUCACGAAUGUGACCUACAGAAUUAGACUAUAUUUACCCCUAUUUGUGACAUUGUUACCUAUUGUUUUUGUUGUUAUGUUCACACAUCGUUGUCAAUAUAAUGGAAUUUGAUGUGACUGUCAUAGAAGUGAGAGGUUUAGCUAACUUUAAAAUCAGGUUCAAUUCACCAUUUUCUACAUAAGAAAAUGCCUCUACCAAGUCAGGAAUAUGACAGUUGUUGUUUAUUCAUUUGAUGUGUUUGAACUUUUGAUUUUGCCAUUUGAUUGUUGACUUUCCUUUUUGAAUUUUCCUUGGAGUUCAGUAUUUUUGUGAUUUUACUUUUUUUCUUUUACUAUGUGUUACAUCAGGUUUAUCAUUACAAUUGACCACAUUCACAUGGUGUGUUUUCUUUUACUCAGAUUGCAUCAGGUUUAUUCAUUACAAUAGACCACAUUCAAUGGUGAGUUUUCUUUACUCAGAUUGCAUCAGGUUUAUUUACAAUAGACCACAUUCACAUGGUGAGUUUUCUUUUACUCAGGUUUACAUCAGGUUUAUCAUUACAUAGACCACAUUCACAUGGUGAGUUUUCUUUUACUCAGGUUGCAUCAGGUUUAUCAUUACAAUAGACCACAUUCACAUGGUGAGUUUUCAUUUACUCAGAUUGCAUCAGGUUUAUCAUUACAAUAGACCACAUUCACAUGGUGAGUUUUCUUUUACUCAGGUUGCAUCAGGUUUAUCAUUACAAUAGACCACAUUCACAUGGUGAGUUUUCUUUUACUCAGGUUACAUCAUGUUUAUCAUUACAAUAGACCACAUUCACAUGGUGUGUUUUCUUUUACUCAGGUUGCAUCAGGUUUAUCAUUACAAUAGACCACAUUCACUUGGUAAGUUUUCUUUUACUCAGGUUGCAUCAUGUUUAUCAUUACAAUAGACCACAUUCACUUGGUGAGUUUUCUUUUACUCAGGUUGCAUCAUAUUUAUCAUUACAAUAGACCACAUUCACAUGGUGAGUUUUCUUCUACUCAGAUUGCAUCAUGUUUAUCAUUACAAUUGACCACAUUCACAUGGUGAGUAAAUUUUCAUUUACUCAGAUUGCAUCAGGUUUAUCCUUGCAAUAGACCACAUUCACAUGGUGAGUUUUCUUUUAAUCUUGUUACAUCAUGUUUAUCAUUACAAUAGACCACAUUCACAUGGUGUGUUUUCUUUUACUCAGGUUGGGUCUGGUUUUUCAUUAUAAUAGACCACUUUCACAUGGUGAGUUUUCUUUUACUCAGGUUGGGUCAGGUUUAUCAUUACAAUAGACCACAUUCACAUGGUGAGUUUUCUUUUACUCAGGUUGGGUCAGGUUUAUCAUUACAAUAGACCACAUUCACAUGAUGUGUUUUCUUUUACUCAGGUUGGGUCAGGUUUAUCAUUACAAUAGACCACAUUCACAUGAUGGGUUUUCUUUUACUCAGGUUGGGUCAGGUUUAUCAUUGCAAUAGACCACAUUCACAUGGUGUGUUUUCUUUUACUUAGGUUGCAUCAGGUUUAUCAUUACAAUAGACCACAUUCACAUGGUGAGUUUUCUUUUACUCAGAUUGGCAUCAGUUAUCAUACAAUAGGACCACAUUCACAUUGAGUUUUCUUUUACUCAGGUUGCAUCAGGUUUAUCAUUGCAAUAGACCACAUUCACAUGGUGAGUUUUCUUUUACUCAUUGUUUUAAUCAUGUACAAUUAACCACAUUCACAUGUGGGUUUUCUUUUAUUUUUACAUUACAAUAGACCACAUUCACAUGGUGGGUUUUCUUUUACUUUGGUUUCAUCAGGUUUAACUUUAGAAUAGACUCGAUUCACAUGUUAGGGGUUUUAUGUUUCCCAUGUUACAUUGUGUUUAACAUUAUAAUGUUGAGUUUUCUUUCACUCAUGUUACAUCAUCUUGUUUUGGCAUUAUGGUAGACCACAUUCUCAUGGUUAGCUCCCUUUUACUCAUGUAACAUCAUGUUUCACAGUCUCAUGUUAUGUUUUCUAUACUCAUGUUACAUCAUGUUUAAAUUACAAUAGAUUGCAUUCACAUGUUUGGUUUUAUUCUACUCAAGUAGCCUGAUGUUAUAUGACAUUACAAUAGAGCACAGAAAGUAAGGAGGAAGAGGAACAAUAUAUAUUUACCCUGGAGGAGUUACUAUAACUAUUGUUUAGGGUAUAACUGUGCAAACAGCGCUCAAUGCCAAAUCAUACCCUGUUCUAACCAGUAAAGAUUGAAAAACAUUACCUGUUCUAAACAGAUCGAGAUAUUGAAAAACAUACCUGUUCUAGAAAAUUCACAAUUGUUAAAAUAUGCAUCAGGAAUGAUCCUGUUCUAGACCGUUUAAAAUAAAUACUGUUCUAGACUGGGUUCUAGACUGUAUCUUAAACAGUUAAAUAAGUGGUUCUGUUCUAGACAAAUACUUUGUUUGAACAAAGACCCUGUUCUCACCAGCAAGACAUCCCCUUACGAAAAUGGUACAGGAUAACACUAGAUAUCCCCAGGAUAAUCUUAAGAAAAAUCACAGGGUAAUCUUGAGAUAUCUUGAUCCUGAGAUAGGGGUAAACAUUGGACGGUGUUAAAUUUGGAACAAGGAUAUUCCAGGGAUAUCCAGAGACCAUCCCGACCAAAAAUAUCCUAGUAAAAAUUAAAUCCUGUUAUAAUCCUGUGCUCAGGAUUCAUCAUGUACGCAGGUCCUGGCCUUGAAGGCAUAAAACUUUGCUCAGUGCUUGGAGCACAAAAAUCAUGCUCGAAACAUUAAAUCCAGCAAUUUGAUUGGUUGAUUUUCGAGUCUGCAGUACAAAUUAUCCUCUAAAGUUUUAUGACCGUGAGGAAAUUUACAGAUUUGCUUGCAUUGAGUUGGUCCUGAGAUAAUCCUGGGAUAAUCCUGGUAUAUCCUGUGAAUAUCCUGAGAAUGUCCUAGCUUAUUUCAGGACCAUGCUGAGUAAAUGUCUUAUAUGUACAUAUUCUAUAAUAAGUUUACAAAAUUUAAGUAAAAUCCUUUUUUAAUGCACAAUUUUUUUCUAUGCAAAUAUUUUCUUAAAUUAGUUUAAAUCCAUAUUCCUCAUUCUAUAAAGCAAGUGCGGAUCCAUAAUAAUUUGUGUAUUUCAAAAAUGUUUGACAAAAUAGUUUUAGUUUCUUUCCCCUAUUCUAUCACCCUUCACAAAUCAUGACUAAAACACUAUCUUCAUGUGAAUAUUUACUUCAACAAACAACAGUUAAUUUCAGUCCCAAAGAUUUUUUUUCUUAUUUGAAUUUGUGCCAUACAGAUUAAUUAUAUUUUUUCUCAAGUCCCAAUACCAGGAAUCAUCAAGGACUUUAUAUUGUUUUUUUUUCAUUCAGAGAGAAUUUGUAAAGUUUCUGAAAGUAGAAUGAAUGUUGAAGGAAAAGUCCUAAUAUAUCCUGGUUUAUAUUAUAUUUAUUUUUGAAAGUCUUUAGAUUAUAUCCUAGUUUUAUAAAAGCUGCUUGAGUUGAAAGUCCUGACAUUUCCUGAAAUUCUCCCAUCAACUUCAUUAAAAAAGGGCUAAAUGCUUUACAGGAUAUUUUCAGGAUUUCCCAGGAUAAUCUUGAGAUAUCCUGAUAAAAAGAAUUGUCAGGAUUUAUUUCUGCAAGGGUCUGUUCUGAGCAGAACAUGAAAAAGGGACCCUGUUCUAACCAGCAGAUAAUGAAAAGGUGACCCUGUUUUGGGGUACACUCGUACCACUAAAAAUAUAAGAAUGUUUUUUACAAAUUACAAGUUCAUAAAAUAAUUAACUAUAUAUUGACAUUUCAAUUUGUUUUCAUAGCCUUUGCCUUUGAGGUAACCCAAGUACAUGUACAAAUAACUUUAUAAAAAGUCAUCUGAGAGGAAGAACUUUGUCUUAUACAAUAGAGUUCUGAUAUCUUACUGACUUUUAAUAUCAAGAUUCUUUCUUAGUGAUAGCUAUAGAUCGAUAGAAUUUAAGGCAUGUUAUAUUGAUAUAAAAGUACCGAUAUUGAUGAACAGAAAUAGUAAAAUAUGCAGAUACAACAGAAAGGAAUUGAAGAGUUAAAUGAAGACUAUAAAAUUCUAAAUAGACAGUUUAAUUGUUAACAAACAUCAUGCCUAAUAAGACUGAUAAUUUAAGUUUUCAAUUCAUUUCUUUCCAGAGUUUUGCUCUUCUCAUGGUCGCCAUUCUCGUGUUGAAGUUAGAACAGUUUUAGUUCGUAGUAUCACCACAACAACAUGGCGUGCACAACAAAAAUUUUUAAAGCACAAAGACUUUUUCAAAGGACCUCACUCGUAAUUGUCUAUAUUUGCAGAUUUCUGUGUUGCAAACAGUCGUCAUUCCAGAACUAAAGUGCGUACUGUUCUACAGCGGAGUGUUUGUUUUGCCAGUUGGCAUGCUAAACAGAAAGUUAUGCAGAAUUUAAGACCUUCUCAACUCAGCUAUUAUUAAUUGACAAUAUAGCAUAAACCUGUAUUAAAAAAAAGCCACAAUUUAUUUAUUCAAAUAUAGUGCAUUCAUUGUAUUUGUAUCUAUAGUUUUUGUUUGUAUAAACAGAAUUUAUAAUACAUCAGAAAAAAAUCUAAAUUAGAAACCAUUUUAAGUCGGUUGACUGCGUUUUCCCUUCACAAC
rnacentral:lncRNA from 1 species